CCAUCACAAGGGGCUCUUCUGGGUGAAUCCUCCUCCUGCCCCACCUGCCAUGGCCACCAGGCUCCUGUGCUGGGUGUCCCUUUGUGUCCUGGGAUUAGAGCCCACAGAUGCUGGUGUCACCCAGACACCCAGGCACAAGGUGACAAAGAGGGGACAAGAAGUGACUAUGAGUUGUGAGCCAGUUUCAGGCCAUGACUACCUUUACUGGUACAGACAGACCUCAGCAGAAGGCAUAAAGUUUUUGAUAUAUUUCAGUGAUACUAAACCUCUGGAUGACACAGGAAUGCCCAACAAGCGAUUCUCAGCUCGCAUGCCCAGUGCGUCACUCUCCACUCUGAAGAUCCAGCUGACAGAACCCGGGGACUCGGCCGUGUACCUCUGUGCCAGCAGCUUAGCCACAGCGCUGCACAGUCGCUCCCUCCCUGUGCAGAAACCUCCUGCUUCCCCUUCUCUCAUCAGUCCCCAGAUGUCCUGUGUAAAAGACUUCUCUGCUCUGCUAUCACCAAGAGACAUGCAUGGGUUUGGGGCAUGA